rnacentral:rRNA from 1 species
GGACCAAGGAGUCUAGCAUGUGCGCGAGUCAUUGGGAUUUUUACUAAACCUAAAGGCGCAAUGAAAGUGAAGGUCCGCCUUGCGCGGACCGAGGGAGGAUGGACCGUUCCGAGGGACGGCCUCGCACUCCCGGGGCGUCUCGCUCUCAUCGCGAGAAGAGGCGCACCCAGAGCGUACACGCUGGGACCCGAAAGAUGGUGAACUAUGCCUGGUCAGGACGAAGUCAGGGGAAACCCUGAUGGAGGUCCGUAGCGAUUCUGACGUGCAAAUCGAUCGUCGGAACUGGGUAUAGGGGCGAAAGACUAAUCGAACCAUCUAGUAGCUGGUUCCCUCCGAAGUUUCCCUCAGGAUAGCUGGCGCUCGCUUCUCGCGAGUCUCAUUCGGUAAAGCGAAUGAUUAGAGGCAUUGGGGUCGAAACGGCCUCAACCUAUUCUCAAACUUUAAAUGGGUGAGAUCUCCGGCUUGCUUGAACUGUGAAGCCGCGAGAUAUCGGAUCAGAGUGCCAAGUGGGCCACUUUUGGUAAGCAGAACUGGCGCUGUGGGAUGAACCAAACGCUGAGUUAAAGCGCCUAAAUCGACGCUUAUGGGAUACCAUGAAAGGCGUUGGUAACUUAAGACAGCAGGACGGUGGCC